rnacentral:rRNA from 1 species
UACGUAGGGUGCGAGCGUUAAUCGGAGUUACUGGGCGUAAAGCGUGCGCAGGCGGUUUUUUAAGCCAGAUGUGAAAUCCCCGGGCUUAAACUGGGAACUGCAUUUGGAACUGGAAGACUAGAGUACGGCAGAGGGGGGUAGAAUUCCACGUGUAGCAGUGAAAUGCGUAGAUAUGUGGAGUAAUACCGAUGGCGAAGGCAGCCCCCUGGGUCGAUACUGACGCUCAUGCACGAAAGCGUGUGGAGCGAACAGG